rnacentral:siRNA from 1 species
ACUCUGGUACAUGUGCUGAACAUC